rnacentral:lncRNA from 7 species
CAGAGCUGCAUCUGACCUAUGAGAGGCAACUGGGGGCGGGACAGAGCUGCUGCAGACCAAUGAGAGGCAAGCGGGGGUGGGACAGAGCUGCUGCUGACCAAUGAGAGACAACUGGGGGCGGGACAGAGCUUCCGCUGACGAAUGAGAGGUCGACACGGGCCUGCACCGAGCUGGGAGCAAAGUGGACACCCCCAAAGCAGCGGCAGCAACGGGAAGGGGCUCCAAGAAGCAAAGGAUGGCGGCGAGGCGCUGCCGGGAGCAGCAAAAGGCAGUGAGGCUCUCCCUGAAGCACCACAGCGGUUUGUUCGCCCACAGCACACACGCGUGUGUGGCCCCAUCCCUGCGUGCAACCACAUGCACGCACACACAUGCAACCCCAUCCCGUUGCACAGCAGUGCACGCGCAAAGACGCGUGCAGCCUCAUCUGAAGCUCCACAGGCAGGAGGAGACGGGCCGAGGAGAGCGCUCCCUCGGAUGCAAGGCAGUGGGCAGCCAUGGCAAAGGCUGAGGUGCUCAGUGAGAGCUUUGCCUCGGUCUUUGCAGGUGGUCGGACCUGCAGCCCGACUUACAGAAGAAGAUGAGGAGUUCCCCAGCAGGAAGCCACAAACCCGGCAGGAACCUGCAGGGGAAAUGCCAGGAGGAAAUGCAGCCCCAGCGUCUGAGCAGCGCCUGGCCAUGGAGUGCUGCGGCCCAAGAACAGCGCUAUUCUGCCCUUGCCGAGAUGGCUUUCCAAGGAGGACUUGUCUGUGGGGGUUAUUUGGGUUAUGUGGGCUCGUUGGGGUCUGUCCUCACAAAAACCAGAGGGCUGGCUCAUCCAAAAGCUUGGUGAUUGCUUGGAAGCCCAAACCCUUCUGGCCUCCAAUGACCCCAUAGGCCCGACUGACCCCAUAGACCUUUUUGACCGAGUGACCACAGUGACCUCACAUGAACCAUAUAACCCCACUGACCCUCAUGAUCCCAAUGAUCCCACAUGGGCCCAGUGACCCCACAUGACCCCACUGACCCCACCGAUCCCAAAGAUCCUAAUGAUACUCAUGACCCCAUAAGACCCCAACAACCCAUUAACCCUACUGACCCCAGUGACCCCAUUAAGCUCAUAUGACCCUAUUGACCCCACUGACCCCAUUAAUCCCAAUGACUCCAUUGACUCCAAUAACCCCCACUGACCGCAUUAAGCCACUUGACCCCAAUGAACCAAUUGACCCCAAUGACUCCAUUGACUACAAUGACCCUAUUUACUCCAAUGACCCCAUUGAUCCCAAUGACCCUAUUCACUCUAAUAACCCCAUUUAAUCAAUGGCCACAAAGACCCCUACGGCCCCCACUGACCCCAAUGACCCCCAUUGACCCCAGUGACCCCAUUGACUCUAAUGUCCCCAUAGACCCCAAUGAGCCCAUUGUCUCCAAUGACCCCAGUGUUGAAGCAGCCUGGGGGAAACGUCUCCUGCUUCCAAUCAUGCAGCGCCUGAGCGAGAGGGUGACCCAGCCUGGCUACACAACAAUCGUGUGUAUUUCUUUGUUCUGUUGCUUCACAGA